GGCCACGCGGUGUGCUAUCGUCGGC
rnacentral:miRNA from 1 species